UACGUAGGGCGCAAGCGUUGUCCGGAAUUAUUGGGCGUAAAGAGCUCGUAGGCGGUUUGUCGCGUCUGCUGUGAAAACCUAAGGCUCAACCUUGGGCUUGCAGUGGGUACGGGCAGACUAGAGUGCGGUAGGGGUGACUGGAAUUCCUGGUGUAGCGGUGAAAUGCGCAGAUAUCAGGAGGAACACCGGUGGCGAAGGCGGGUCUCUGGGCCGAUACUGAUGCUGAGGAGCGAAAGCGUGGGGAGCGAACAGG
rnacentral:rRNA from 1 species